CAGUAGCCGCGGUAAUACGUAGGGUGCGAGCGUUAAUCGGAAUUACUGGGCGUAAAGCGUGCGCAGGCGGUUGUGUAAGACAGGUGUGAAAUCCCCGGGCUUAACCUGGGAACUGCGCUUGUGACUGCACAGCUAGAGUAUGGCAGAGGGGGGUGGAAUUCCACGUGUAGCAGUGAAAUGCGUAGAGAUGUGGAGGAACACCGAUGGCGAAGGCAACCCCCUGGGCCAAUACUGACGCUCAUGCACGAAAGCGUGGGGAGCAAACAGGAUUAGAUACCCGCGUAGUCCCUGUCUCUUAUAC
rnacentral:rRNA from 1 species